GGAAACAACCCAGACCGCCAGCUAAGGUCCCAAAGUCAUGGUUAAGUGGGAAACGAUGUGGGAAGGCCCAGACAGCCAGGAUGUUGGCUUAGAAGCAGCCAUCAUUUAAAGAAAGCGUAAUAGCUCACUGGUCGAGUCGGCCUGCGCGGAAGAUGUAACGGGGCUAAACCAUGCACCGAAGCUGCGGCAGCGACACUGUGUGUUGUUGGGUAGGGGAGCGUUCUGUAAGCCUGUGAAGGUGGCCUGUGAGGGUUGCUGGAGGUAUCAGAAGUGCGAAUGCUGACAUAAGUAACGAUAAAGCGGGUGAAAAGCCCGCUCGCCGGAAGACCAAGGGUUCCUGUCCAACGUUAAUCGGGGCAGGGUGAGUCGACCCCUAAGGCGAGGCCGAAAGGCGUAGUCGAUGGGAAACGGGUUAAUAUUCCCGUACUUGGUGUUACUGCGAAGGGGGGACGGAGAAGGCUAUGUUGGCCGGGCGACGGUUGUCCCGGUUUAAGCGUGUAGGUGUGUGUUCCAGGUAAAUCCGGUUCACUUUAACACUGAGGCGUGACGACGAGGCACUACGGUGCUGAAGCAACAAAUGCCCUGCUUCCAGGAAAAGCCUCUAAGCAUCAGGUAACAUCAAAUCGUACCCCAAACCGACACAGGUGGUCAGGUAGAGAAUACCAAGGCGCUUGAGAGAACUCGGGUGAAGGAACUAGGCAAAAUGGUGCCGUAACUUCGGGAGAAGGCACGCUGACACGUAGGUGAAGUGAUUUACUCACGGAGCUGAAGUCAGUCGAAGAUACCAGCUGGCUGCAACUGUUUAUUAAAAACACAGCACUGUGCAAACACGAAAGUGGACGUAUACGGUGUGACGCCUGCCCGGUGCCGGAAGGUUAAUUGAUGGGGUCAGCGCAAGCGAAGCUCCUGAUCGAAGCCCCGGUAAACGGCGGCCGUAACUAUAACGGUCCUAAGGUAGCGAAAUUCCUUGUCGGGUAAGUUCCGACCUGCACGAAUGGCGUAAUGAUGGCCAGGCUGUCUCCACCCGAGACUCAGUGAAAUUGAACUCGCUGUGAAGAUGCAGUGUACCCGCGGCAAGACGGAAAGACCCCGUGAACCUUUACUAUAGCUUGACACUGAACAUUGAGCCUUGAUGUGUAGGAUAGGUGGGAGGCUUU
rnacentral:rRNA from 1 species